rnacentral:rRNA from 1 species
GACGUGGGGCGCGAGCGUUGUCCGGAUUUAUUGGGCGUAAAGAGCUCGUAGGCGGUGUGUCGCGUCGGCCGUGAAAACCUGCAGCUUAACUGUGGGCUUGCGGUCGAUACGGGCAUCACUGGAGUUCGGCAGGGGAGACUGGAAUUCCUGGUGUAGCGGUGAAAAUGCGCAGAUAUCAGGGAGGGAAACACCGGUGGGCGAAAGGCGGGGUCUC